rnacentral:SRP_RNA from 1 species
GCCGGGCACCGUGGCGCGUGCCUGUAGUCCCAGCUAUUCGGGAGGCUGAGAUGGGAGGAUUGCUUGAGCCCAGGAGUUCUGGGCUGUAGUGCACUAUGCCGAUCAGGUGUCUGCACUAAGUUUGACAUCAAUAUGGUGACCUCCCGGGAGUAGGGGACCGCCAGGUUGUCUAAGGAGGGGUGAACUGGCCCAGGUCGGAAAUGGAGUAGGUCAAAACUCCCGUGGUGAUCAGUAGUGGGAUGGCACCGAUGAAUAGUCACUGCACUCCAGCCUGGGCAACAUAGCGAGACCCCAUCUCU